rnacentral:rRNA from 1 species
GAUGAACGCUGGCGGCGUGCCUAAUACAUGCAAGUCGAGCGAACAGACGAGGAGCUUGCUCCUCUGACGUUAGCGGCGGACGGGUGAGGAACACGUGGAUAACCUACCUAUAAGACUGGGAUAACUUCGGGAAACCGGAGCUAAUACCGGAUAAUAUAUUGAACCGCAUGGUUCAAUAGUGAAAGACGGUUUUGCUGUCACUUAUAGAUGUAUCCGCGCCGCAUUAGCUAGUUGGUAAGGUAACGGCUUACCAAGGCAACGAUGCGUAGCCGACCUGAGAGGGUGAUCGGCCACACUGGAACUGAGACACGGUCCAGACUCCUACGGGAGGCAGCAGUAGGGAAUCUUCCGCAAGGGGCGAAAGCCUGACGGAGCAACGCCGCGUGAGUGAUGAAGGUCUUCGGAUCGUAAAACUCUGUUAUUAGGGAAGAACAAAUGUGUAAGUAACGAUGCACGUCUGGACGGUACCUAAUCAGAAAGCCACGGCUAACUACGU